rnacentral:rRNA from 1 species
AGAGUUUGAUCCUGGCUCAGAACGAACGCUGGCGGCAGGCUUAACACAUGCAAGUCGAACGCCCCGCAAGGGGAGUGGCAGACGGGUGAGUAACGCGUGGGAAUCUACCGUACCCUACGGAAUAACGCAUGGAAACGUGUGCUAAUACCGUAUACGCCCUACGGGGGAAAGAUUUAUCGGGGUAUGAUGAGCCCGCGUUGGAUUAGCUAGUUGGUGGGGUAAAGGCCUACCAAGGCGACGAUCCAUAGCUGGUCUGAGAGGAUGAUCAGCCACAUUGGGACUGAGACACGGCCCAAACUCCUACGGGAGGCAGCAGUGGGGAAUAUUGGACAAUGGGCGCAAGCCUGAUCCAGCCAUGCCGCGUGAGUGAUGAAGGUCUUAGGAUUGUAAAGCUCUUUCACCGAUGAAGAUAAUGACGGUAGUCGAGAGAG